rnacentral:lncRNA from 1 species
GGCGAAUUGAAAAAUUACUUGGUCUUUUUGACCACAUGGGUAAUUCUGUUGAGAGCAGUUGUGCAGUUCUAGAGAGCUUGGGAACAAUGGAUGUAGGGACACAUAGAUAACAGAGUAAAGAAAGAGGAAGGACGAGGAGGAGGAGGAGAGGAAGCAGAAGAAAAGAUAAGAAGAAUAAGUCUGAAAGAGUGCAGGAGUGCCAGGAAGGCUUUCUCAAGAGAUGUAGAAGAGAGCAAAUAACGAAGCGCAGUAAGAAAGCUAGAAGUACUGACAGAAAGAGGAAAAGGAAUAAUGUCAACAACGAAUGGUUGAAGAUGUGAGAGGACUGGAGCCUCUUUAGCUAAAGGUGUAGGAGGCCAUGUGGCAAGAUUGCAGGCGGCCUCAAGGAUCUACAUGGUGCCAUAACCACAUUCAUUUGCAAGAGGACUCUGAGCUCCAAAUGAGAACCCAGACUAGCUGACACAAUUUUAGCCUUAUGAGAUCUUGAACAGGGAUCGAACUUGGGACCUUGCACUUGUGAAGCAGGCAGCAGCACCA